UGACGUCAGCGUCCCUGGCAUGUCGGCAGUGUGAUAACGUCCUGUCUUGGACCGACUGCUCGGCCCCGUUUCACUGUCUUAACGAGUGCAUCAUGACAGUGACACAGGAACAUCACGGGAACUUCUUCUCUGUACACUGUGGCAAAGUUGAAGCGGUUCAACAUGACAAACACACAGUUUGUGUGGACUCCUGUAACACUCCGGACUGCCUUCACACCC